CGGCGUCACGAGUGGCAAUCACAGUUAUUGGGUCUAAAGCGUUCGUAGCCGGUUUAGUAAAUCUUUUGUGAAAUUGUCGGGCUUAACUCGACAGCGUGCAGAAGACACUACUAGACUUGAGACCGGGAGGGGUUAGAAGUAUUUCAGGGGGAGCGGUAAAAUGUUAUAAUCCCUGAAGGACUACCAAUGGCGAAGGCAUCUAACCAGAACGGAUCUGACGGUGAGGAACGAAGGCCAGGGGAGCGAACCGGAUUAGAUACCCGAGUAGUCC
rnacentral:rRNA from 1 species